CUGAUCUUGAAGUAGCCCAGCAUCCGGUCGUCGGCCUGGUACACCAGCGUCUCCACAGGGAAGUCGAUGAGGUAGCAGUAGCCGCUCGCGCCGUUGUACAGCGCGCCCCGGCAGGUGCAGUUGCCCGCACACGCCAGCUCGCACCCGUCCGCCGUCGUGUUCGUCCGGAACGGCAGCUCCUCCUUGUACGCCACGGACACCCGCGUCCGCCGCACCACGUCGAAACCCAGCUGCCGCGCCCCGUUGCUGCUGGCGGUGCUGCAGAGGUCGGCGGUGUCCUCGCCGUGGCACGGCGGGGCGGUGCUCGUGCCGUUA
rnacentral:misc_RNA from 1 species